UACCAGCACCCCGAGUGGUCGGGACGUUUAUUGGGCCUAAAGCAUCCGUAGCCGGUUCUACAAGUCUUCCGUUAAAUCCAUCUGCUUAACAGAUGGGCUGCGGAAGAUACUAUAGAGCUAGGAGGCGGGAGAGGCAAGCGGUACUCGAUGGGUAGGGGUAAAAUCCGUUGAUCCAUUGAAGACCACCAGUGGCGAAGGCGGCUUGCCAGAACGCGCUCGACGGUGAGGGGUGAAAGCUGGGGGAGCAAACCGG
rnacentral:rRNA from 1 species